GACGAACGCUGGCGGCGUGCUUAACACAUGCAAGUCGAGCGGUAAGGCCCCUUCGGGGGUACACGAGCGGCGAACGGGUGAGUAACACGUGGGUGACCUGCCCUCAGCUCUGGGAUAAGCCUGGGAAACUGGGUCUAAUACCGGAUAUGACUCCAUGACGCAUGUCGUGGGGUGGAAAGCCUUGUGCGGCUGGGGAUGGGCCCGCGGCCUAUCAGCUUGUUGGUGGGGUGAUGGCCUACCAAGGCGACGACGGGUAGCCGGCCUGAGAGGGCGACCGGCCACACUGGGACUGAGACACGGCCCAGACUCCUACGGGAGGCAGCAGUGGGGAAUCUUGCGCAAUGGGCGAAAGCCUGACGCAGCGACGCCGCGUGGGGAUGACGGCCUC
rnacentral:rRNA from 1 species